UAAAUUUUCGAGGCUAAACCUGGUAUGCUUUCUCCMGUCACUGGAAAGGGGCAAUUUCCCUUGAAAAGCAAUUCAGAAGAGGAACUCACAGUCUAGUGGAAUGAAGAAUCUUACCAACUUUCUUCAGAUUAAUCUAAAAUCUCCAGAUGUGGCUUAUUACAGAUUAUUAAAAUGUCCUUGAAGAUGAACAUCACCUGUAACAAGUUCUAUCAAUGACUGCCUGUCUUAACUUCUCAUUCAGUGAUGUUCACUGUGUUAAGGAAGCUCCAAUGACCGAAUGCAACACAAGCAAGAGUUAAUAUAACUUCAAGUUCACACUGUUUGAGUAUACUGGACACCAGGACUGGGGAUUGCAACCUUCAGAUUUUUG